rnacentral:rRNA from 1 species
UGAGGAAUCUUGGUCAAUGGGGGAAACCCUGAACCAGCGACGCCGCGUGUAGGAUGACGGGGCUUUGCCCUGUAAACUACUGUCAGGAGGGAAGAAAAGCGUCUUUGGGACGCCGGGACAGUACCUCCAGAGGAAGGACCGGCUAACUACGUGCCAGCAGCCGCGGUAAUACGUAGGGUCCAGGCGUUGUCCGGAAUUACUGGGUGUAAAGGGUGUGCAGGCGGGCCUGUGCGUCAGGGGUUAAAUAUUUCGGCUUAACCGAAAACCAGCCCUUGAUACGGCAGGUCUUGAGUGCGAGAGAGGAUAGCAGAAUUCCUGGUGUAGCGGUGAAAUGCGUAGAUAUCAGGAGGAAUACCAGUGGCGAAGGCGGCUAUCUGGCUCGUUACUGACGCUCAGGCACGAAAGCGUGGGGAGCAAACA